GAUGAAGAACGCAGCGAAAUGCGAUAAGUAGUGUGAAUUGCAGAAUUCAGUGAAUCAUCGAAUCUUUGAACGCACAUUGCGCCCUUUGGUAUUCCUUAGGGCAUGCCCGUUCGAGCGUCAUUUAAACCUUCAAGCUAAGCUUGGUGUUGGGUGACUGUCCGCUUCACGGCGGACUCGCCUCAAAAUUAUUGGCGGCCGGUACAUUGGCUUCGAGCGCAGCAGAAACGCGAACUCGGGCCCGUCGUAUUGGCUCCCAGAAGCUAUCUUCACAAUUUUGACCUCGGAUCAGGUAGGGAUACCCGCUGAACUUAAGCAUAUCAAUAAGCGGAGGA
rnacentral:misc_RNA from 1 species